rnacentral:rRNA from 1 species
GACGAACGCUGGCGGCGUGCUUAACACAUGCGAGUCGAACGAAGAGCGAUGGAAGCUUGCUUCUAUCAAUCUUAGUGGCGAACGGGUGAGUAACGCGUAAUCAACCUGCCCUUCAGAGGGGGACAACAGUUGGAAACGACUGCUAAUGCCGCAUACGAUCUGACCUCGGCAUCGAGGAUAGAUGAAAGGUGGCCUCUAUUUAUAAGCUAUCACUGAAGGAGGGGAUUGCGUCUGAUUAGCUAGUUGGAGGGGUAACGGCCCACCAAGGCGAUGAUCAGUAGCCGGUCUGAGAGGAUGAACGGCCACAUUGGGACUGAGACACGGCCCAGACUCCUACGGGAGGCAGCAGUGGGGAAUCUUCCGCAAUGGACGAAAGUCUGACGGAGCAACGCCGCGUGAGUGAUGACGGCCUUCGGGUUGUAAAGCUCUGUUAAUCGGGACGAAAGGCCUUCUUGCGAAUAGUUAGAAGGAUUGACGGUACCGGAAUAGAAAGCCACGGCUAACUACGUG